UCAUUGUUAAAAUCGAUCGUUCUUAAUCUUAGGUGGAUACAUAAUAGUCUUCUUCUUCUUCUUUCUGUCGAUAGAUUUGAGUACUUAACCUCAGAACAAAAUCAUGGAACAUCUCGAUAACAACUUUUUUUUUUAACGCGAUUUGGAAUUCUUCUCAAGUUGGAGCGUAAUAUUCAUCUUUCUGAUGGGAAUCGAUUCGGCUCGUGAGAGAUCAUUGGUCACGGACAAUAGCGAGCUCAAAGAGCCUUGUGAAGCAGAUGUUGGAACCUGAUCCCACUAAGCGUUCGACUCCUCAGCAAGUAUUUGUGUAUCCUUUUGCAGGAAGAGCAACGGGUUAUAGAAACCAAAAUAAGGAUAAGGCAUAAGGAAAUGCAGGCUGAUGAAGAGAAAAUGCAGAAACGUCUGGAAUCAUGUUCCUCUAGCACAAGCGCAAUGACUGGCGAAAUGGAAUAUGGUUCAGCUUCAUGUCGGUUUAUUUGCCCUGCCAGAACGUAUCAGGAACAAAUGGUGUCACAAAGGCAGUUUUGAUAGACUUUGUUUUUAAAUUAGAGAAAGAAGAGAUACCAUCAUUGUUUUGGACCAUGCACCUAAAAGGGUAUGUAUCAUCUCAUCUGAUACCAUUUUUUCUAUUCAUUGGAUAUAUCUAUUUAUUUAGUCGACAUUCAUGGCCUGA